UACGAGGGGUGCAAGCGUUGCUCGGAAUUAUUGGGCGUAAAGGGCAGGUAGGUGGUCUUAUUUGUCUUGUGUGAAAUCCUUGGGCUUAACUCAAGAAGUGCGCAAGAAACGGUAAGACUAGAGUCCCAGAGAGGCUUGUGGAAUUCCCGGUGUAGCGGUGAAAUGCGCAGAUAUCAGGAAGAACACCCGUGGCGAAGGCGGCUCUCUGGAACGCAACUGACGCUGAGACGCGAAAGCGUGGGGAGCAAACAGG
rnacentral:rRNA from 1 species